UGGGGAAUUUUGGACAAUGGGCGAAAGCCUGAUCCAGCAAUGCCGCGUGUGUGAAGAAGGCCUUCGGGUUGUAAAGCACUUUUGUCCGGAAAGAAAUCCUUGGCUCUAAUACAGUCGGGGGAUGACGGUACCGGAAGAAUAAGCACCGGCUAACUACGUGCCAGCAGCCGCGGUAAUACGUAGGGUGCAAGCGUUAAUCGGAAUUACUGGGCGUAAAGCGUGCGCAGGCGGUUUGCUAAGACCGAUGUGAAAUCCCCGGGCUCAACCUGGGAACUGCAUUGGUGACUGGCAGGCUAGAGUAUGGCAGAGGGGGGUAGAAUUCCACGUGUAGCAGUGAAAUGCGUAGAGAUGUGGAGGAAUACCGAUGGCGAAGGCAGCCCCCUGGGCCAAUACUGACGCUCAUGCACGAAAGCGUGGGGAGCAAACAGGAUUAGAUACCCUGGUAGUCCACGCCCUAAACGAUGUCAACUAGUUGUUGGGGAUUCAUUUCCUUAGUAACGUAGCUAACGCGUGAAGUUGACCGCCUGGGGAGUACGGUCGCAAGAUUAAAACUUAAAGG
rnacentral:rRNA from 1 species